rnacentral:lncRNA from 1 species
GCCAGGAGGCAGUAAAAGAACUGUGAACACAAGACAUCCAUCAGACCUGACAUAAAGAAGGCAGACUCUAAAAAUUAGAGAAGAGGCAAUGGAGCUCUUGAUUAGAUGGUGAGGCAGGGAAAGGGUUUGGGAUCAUUCCUUCAUCCCUGAGGUUGAAAGAUAUGUGAGUGAGAGAUUUGGCAGCUUUAAAAGAGACCUGAAGCAGAAGGAGUAGGUUGUGACUCCCUUGAAGACAAGGCGACAAAAAAAGUGAAGUCGUGGUGAGAUCCUGAUAAAGGGCCAGAAGAAAUGUGAUGGCGAGUACCACAUGGCCAAGCGCUGAUGAGUCCUUUUGCUACGUGUUCCUAAAUGAAUGAGACGUGAGCGAUGGAUGGAUCUUCAUCUUCACUGGGAGUUGGUUGCAACAUCCACCGAGUCAAGAGGGGGUGGGGAGGGGGUUUGGCAUAAACGCCUGGCUGCAGAAAUUUCUCUUUAUUUACAAAAUAACCAGCCAUCUCUGAGCACAUCUGUCAAUACCUUCUCCCACGCCUCUGUCAUCGGGCUCAGCAUAAUGCUCGCUGCCUCAAUGGAGGAAUUUGCCAGAGAAAUGCCAAGUCUAUACCUGCAGUGGCAUUGCCAAGUUCUCCCAGCCAUGCACUUUGACAAAAGAAAAAAAAUGUGGCUAAGGAAAAUGCUAGUCCUUAGAGAGCUGGCGUGGAGAACUGCGCAGUGAUACAGUCAAGUCUCCAACCUCAAGCAUCCUGAAGAUAUCGGUGGUGUCCCCGCCUCAGGACUCAGGGAGCGCGACCUUUGCCUGGGUGUUGAUACAUUGCUCCCAGACCAGGCAUCUGAGACACUAAAGCGGACUAUGGGACUGAGUUGUAUGCAGAUUUGAAAAAAAUAUCAAAGGAAAAAGAAUGUCACUUAUUCUGGUAGCUUGCGAUCUAGAAGAACAGACUGGAUGGCUGCCCCAUGGAAAUGUGGAGAAACACGAGUUCAUGUUCUGCUUGCUCAACUGCAUGGUUCAUGUUGACUUCUUGGAGGAGAUGGCUCUAAAGUGGAUGCACAAGUGAGCGGGUUAAGAAUGCACCCUAACAGGAUGGGUAAAGUGCACUUCCUUGGCUGGAGCAGCAACAGAAAUGACAAAGUCUUUAUGCCUGCUAACCUUUCUGCUUCCCCUUCUUCCAUUGCACUGUGAGCAACAUCACAGCUUCCAGUAAAUGAUUUAUGUAGCUGUAUCUUUAAGAGGCUGUAUUUUUCUCAUGGACGUGCGUCUCUCUGUAGCAAAGUAAACAUCUGCUUAUUUGCUUCGAAUUUUAUUGGCAUCCUGCUUUCC